rnacentral:rRNA from 1 species
UAGAGUUUGAUCCUGGCUCAGGAUGAACGCUGGCGGCGUGCUUAACACAUGCAAGUCGAACGGAGUACUUCGGUACUUAGUGGCGGACGGGUGAGUAACGCGUGAGGACCUGCCCUUAGGUCUGGGACAACAGUUGGAAGCGACUGCUAAUACCGGAUGAGCCGAGAGGUAAAAGAUUAAUUGCCUAAGGAUGGACUCGCGCAGAUUAGCUAGUUGGUGUGGUAACGGCAUACCAAGGCGACGAUCUGUAGCGUGUUCUGAGAGUGAUCAGCCACACUGGGACUGAGACACGGCCCAGANUCCUACGGGAGGCAGCAGUGGGGAAUUUUCCGCAAUGGGCGAAAGCCUGACGGAGCAACGCCGCGUGCGGGAGGAAGGUUUUAGGACUGUAAACCGCUUUUCUCAGGGAAGAAGAUCUGACGGUACCUGAGGAAUCAGCAUCGGCUAAUUCCGUGCCAGCAGCCGCGGUAAUACGGGAGAUGCAAGCGUUAU